AAUUAAUGAGCUUGAAUAAGCAUAUGUUUUGAAAACAUAAGAUAGUAAUUAAUAUUACUAUUAAUUU
rnacentral:tRNA from 1 species